UACAGAGGGUGCAAGCGUUGUUCGGAAUUAUUGGGCGUAAAGGGCGCGUAGGCGGUGCGGUAAGUCUGUAGUGAAAUCUCUGGGCUCAACUCAGUAAUCUGCUGCAGAAACUGCCGUGCUUGAGUGUGGGAGAGGUGAGUGGAAUUCCCGGUGUAGCGGUGAAAUGCGUAGAUAUCAAAGAGGAACACCCAGUGGCGAAGGCGAGUCCCUGGACAACUUCUGACGCUGGAGGCAACGAAAGCCUAGGGGAGCAAACAGG
rnacentral:rRNA from 1 species